AUGCCUUGCUGGCGCCAAUCAACCGCUUCAAUCUUGAGACCCUUCUGGCGUCUGCUUUUCUUUUCCCAAUCUUCCUAAGCUUUGUGCAGUAAACACACACACACUCAUUGCGAAAUUUCUUCUGUGAACUAGCCCUAGGUUUCCAUUUUUAAACAUUCCAAUUACUCAUAGUUAUUAACGAUUAUAUAGCAUUGACAAUUUUCGUGGGGUGUUGAAGAAAUGGAAGGAGGAGAAGGAGGAGGAGGGUUGAGUGUUGGGAGCAUACCAUCAGCAUCGUCUGCGCCGCCGCCAUUUCUGAGCAAGACAUACGAUAUGGUGGACGAUCCAACGACAGAUUCGGUGGUGUCUUGGAGCAAGAGCAACAAUAGCUUCGUGGUCUGGAACGUACCGGAAUUUUCCAGGGAUCUUUUGCCUAAAUAUUUUAAGCACAAUAAUUUCUCCAGCUUCGUUCGCCAGCUCAACACUUAUGGGUUCAAGAAAGUUGACCCAGACAGCUGGGAAUUUGCAAAUGAGGGUUUCCUAAGAGGCCAAAAGCACCUUUUGAAGAGCAUAAGUAGGAGAAAAUCUUCCCAUACACAACAUCAGCAACCCUCCCAAUUUCAGAGUUCAUCUGUUGGGUCUUGUGUUGAAGUUGGAAAAUUUGGAAUAGAGGAAGAGGUCGAAAGACUGAAAAGAGAUAAAAAUGUUCUCAUGCAGGAGCUUGUCAGGUUAAGGCAGCAGCAGCAAUCGACAGAUAACCAAUUACAAACUGUUGGGCAGCGUGUUCAUGUAAUGGAGCAGCGCCAGCAACAAAUGAUGUCAUUCCUCGCAAAAGCCAUGCAUAGCCCUGGAUUUGUGGCCCAGCUGGUACAUGAUCAAAAUGAAAGCAACAGACGCAUCUCUGGAGGUAAUAAGAAAAGGAGACUUCCCACUCAGGAAGAGGAAGUCUUAGGUGGAAAACUUGAUACAGUGUCACCUGAUGGACAGAUUGUUAAGUACCAGCCUUUGAUGAAUGAAGCUGCAAAGUCCAUGCUGCGGCAAAUCCUAAAGAUGAAUGCGACUGGGAGGCUUGAAUCGAAAGUUAACAACCUGAAUGGUUACUUGAUUGAUAGUGUCCAGCCUCCAUCUGGUAUAGCAGACAGCGGUAGCUCCUCCAAUAGAAUGUCUGGGGUGACCCUUUCAGAGGUUUUGCCACCUUCUUCACAAUCACCAGCGGUAGCAGAAUCAGCAUUUUCUUUCAACUGUCCUUCAGCUGCCAUAUCCGCGGUCCAGCAUUCCUCUGGUUUGGUACAUGAGAAGAAACAAGGUACUCCAUUUCAAGAAAUGAAUGUUGGGUUGCCAGAAUUUCCUCAAAGUCAAGGAAUCUAUCCAGAAAAGCAUGAGCACCUAGACAUGCCUCUUACUGGAGCUGAAUCUAGAGAUGCAGGGAAUAUGGACGCAAUGACAGGAUUGGUAGAUGGCCCUAUGCCAGUUGGACCUGAUGGAUUUUCAUCAGAUCUUGACAUUGAUAUCUUGCUAGACGAGAUCCCUAAGCUACCAGGUAUAAAUGAUGUUUUCUGGGAACAAUUUCUUUCUGCAAGUCCCCUGACUGAGGAUACUGAUGAGAUCAAUUCUGGCACAUUGGAAUGUGGUACUGGAGAGGAACAGGAUCAGAAGAUAGGGCAAGAAGGUGAAUGGGAUAAGAUGAAGCUUAUGAAUAAUGUUACGGAACAUUUGGGACGUCUUGCAUCUGCAUCCAGUACUAUCUGAUUCUGUGUUAAGAAUUAUAUUCUUGCAUGAAGUUUUGGAGGUAAAACUUCAAUUCAAUUUCCUUUGAUAAGCAGUGGGUCAUUUCACAUUCAGUCCUUCUCUAUACAGACUUACCAAGUGUUAACAGAGCUUAAUGCUAUCUUCAUAUAAGGUCAAUGCUGUGGAAUACCGGCAUACAAAAUGCCUCUACUCAAAUAUGCUUCUGUUACAGUGGGAAGUUUUUAGACUGCUAUCCACCUCAAACUUUACCCUCUUUUUUGGAAAAUAAUGCAUGGAGACCUUUGUAUGAAGUUUGUAAACUGUACUUCUAAAUCCUAGAAGAAAACUGUAUGAUAUAUGAUGUCCUAAUGUCAUAGCAAUUACCUACACUUGCUUAGACAGGAAUGGUAGACCAGCUGAAAUUUGACAUCUUGACCUUUUAUAAUUCUCUUGCCUAUGAAGUUGUGUAUAAUUGUGCUUUUGUAUACCUUUAGUUGAAGGAGGUCUCCUCGAAGGUCUUUGGCUUCAA